GUCCACGCCCUAAACGAUGUCAACUGGUUGUCGGGGAAGUUAUUCCUUGGUAACGAAGCUAACGCGUGAAGUUGACCGCCUGGGGAGUACGGCCGCAAGGUUAAAACUCAAAGGAAUUGACGGGGACCCGCACAAGCGGUGGAUUAUGUGGAUUAAUUCGAUGCAACGCGAAAACCUUACCUACCCUUGACAUGUGCGGAAGGGGGUAGAGAUACCUCGGUGCCCGAAAGGGACCGCAACACAGGUGCUGCAUGGCUGUCGU
rnacentral:rRNA from 1 species